rnacentral:lncRNA from 1 species
GAUGAUAAAUGGGAUAAGCUUCCCAAUACGGUGCUAGGCGGGGAUGAUUGUGGUUAUGUUAUUAUACUUAAUACUAAUUUUCUAAUUUAAGUUCAUCAACAGGAAUCGUCACUUCACACGACUCCUGCAAAAGACGAUCUUUCUGACUGUGCAAAGAAAGGCAUUGCAGGUUAGCCACAUAGAAACUAGAACAGCUUUUCUGAAAAUUUAUAUACUUUUACUCAAGUUAUUAAUUGAUAUCUUGUUGUUUUCUUACCAUUGGAUCUCUGAAAUAAUUAGUGAAACCGCGAAGAGGGGAUGCCCUUCUCUUCUUCAGUCUCCACCCUAAUGCUAUCCCCGAUCCAAGCAGUCUUCACGCCG